rnacentral:lncRNA from 1 species
UUAUGUUGGAUGUCAGUUUUGGAUCCUUCAUAGACCCUCACAAGCAUGAAUAUUAUUGGCAUAUCAAUCUACUUUGGCUUUUCUAUGUCAUACAAUCUGCAAUCAAUAACUCAAAUAAUGGUCACUAAGGUAAUAAUUAGAUGAUUAGUUCCAAAUAAGCUCAUAAUUUUCAACUGACUAAUUUUGACUCCAUAAAACGACAC